GACGAACGCUGGCGGCGUGCUUAACACAUGCAAGUCGAACGAUGAAGCGGCCAGCUUGCUGGUGGUGGAUUAGUGGCGAACGGGUGAGUAACACGUGAGUAACCUGUCCUUCACUCUGGGAUAAGCCCUGGAAACGGGGUCUAAUACUAGAUAUUCUCAAUGUGCCGCAUGGUGUGUUGUGGAAAGAUUUUUUGGUGAGGGUUGGACUCGCGGCCUAUCAGCUUGUUGGUGGGGUAGUGGCCUACCAAGGCUUUGACGGGUAGCCGGCCUGAGAGGGUGACCGGCCACACUGGGACUGAGACAGGAUCAAACCCUUGUUU
rnacentral:rRNA from 1 species